GGCGUGGCUUCCGGCUUCCGGCGGAGUGCUGGGUUGUAGCUUGCGGCCGUCAUGGCAGCCGAGGAGAAGGACCCUUUGAGCUAUUUCGCGGCCUACGGGAGCAGCAGCUCAGGCUCCUCGGACGAGGAGGAUAACAUCGAGCCGGAGGAGACAAGUUGCAGAACCCCGGAUCCGGCGAAGUCGGCGAGCGGCUGUAGGAGCAAGGCGGAGAAGCGGCUCCCGGGACCCGACGAGCUGUUUAGGAGCGUGACUCGCCCGGCCUUUCUCUACAAUCCGCUCAACAAGCAGAUAGACUGGGAGAGGCACGUCGUCAAGGCACCUGAGGAGCCUCCAAAGGAAUUCAAAAUAUGGAAGUCAAAUUAUGUACCACCUCCUGAGACUUACACCACUGAGAAGAAGCCUCCGCCUCCAGAGCUUGACAUGGCAAUAAAAUGGUCUAACAUAUAUGAGGACAAUGGUGAUGAUGCCCCACAGAAUGCUAAGAAAGCUAGGCUUCUACCAGAAGGAGAGGAGACAUUGGAAUCAGUUAACUUCCAGUUACUUUAAAGGAAGAGCUGGAAAAGGUUGAGAACUCAUCAUUGGGUCUUGCUGCUUAUCAGCACUUCUGGUUUUAGUGGUUGUAAAAUGUAGAUGAUGAAAAAGAUGAGCAUACUUAUAAAAAGCGCAAAGUAGAGCCAGGAGAACCAGCAAAGAAGAAAAAGUAGAAAACAAAUGACCAGAAUUUCUGGACUGCUAAACUUGUUGAAAUGUUUCUUUGGGCAGAUUAAGCUGGUAUUGUGGGUUAUUAUCACAUGUUUCCAUGAAAGUACAUACGUUAAUGAACUAACUAGUAAGUAUUGCCUCAAGAACGUUCCACUGUAGAAUUCAUUUUUUAUUUAAAACAUGUAUGUAUUUAAAACUCAACUGGUGAUUUGUGAUUGCGAAAUUGAUACUUGGAUGCAUUCUUACUCUCACAGAAUUGGCGACAUGCUUUGAGAGUUUUGUCACAUGCUGACAUGCCAAUGUUCUAUAAACCUUUUAUAAAGGAAUAUAUUUUUAAAGUAAAUAUAUUGUAAUGUACUGUGAACUUGUAGGGUGCUUUUCAACAGUCUUUGUACAGUGUAAAUAGAUCAUGGAAAUAAAAUUACUUAUUCAAUAUUACUGCAUAACAUUAACAUUUGAAUGUUUGUCUGUGACAAGUACCCUAUUUGCUGUGUGACAUUUUAAGUUGUAAUAAGAAGUAUUACCAUUUAAAGAGUGCCUACUGUGUUCCAGGUGCUUUGUGAAUAUGUUUUCUCUGAUCCUUAAACAACCUAGCAAGAUAUUAUUAGUAUUCCCAUUUUAUAAUAAAGAAUGCUUGAGUAGCUUGUCUAAUGUUA